GAUGAACGCUGGCGGCGUGCCUAAUACAUGCAAGUCGAGCGAACGGACGAGAAGCUUGCUUCUCUGAUGUUAGCGGCGGACGGGUGAGUAACACGUGGAUAACCUACCUAUAAGACUGGGAUAACUUCGGGAAACCGGAGCUAAUACCGGAUAAUAUUUUGAACCGCAUGGUUCAAAAGUGAAAGACGGUCUUGCUGUCACUUAUAGAUGGAUCCGCGCUGCAUUAGCUAGUUGGUAAGGUAACGGCUUACCAAGGCAACGAUGCAUAGCCGACCUGAGAGGGUGAGAGGCCACACUGGAGCUGAGCCAGGGGCGGGCCUACGGCGGGAGGGCGCAGUGGGGAAUAGUGGAGAGGGGGCGAAGGUUGGAUAAAGCUAUGCGGAGUGAAUGAAGAAGGGAUUAGGAUCGUAAAACACUUUGACUGGGGAGGAACGGAAGGAAGCUAAUAACGAGGUGUUUUGACGUGACCAAAAGAAUGAGCACCGGAUAAAUUCGUG
rnacentral:rRNA from 1 species